GUGAGGAAUAUUGCGCAAUGGAGGCAACUCUGACGCAGCCAUGCCGCGUGCAGGAAGAAGGCGCUACGCGUUGUAAACUGCUUUUAACCGGGAAGAAACCCCAGGACGUGUCCUGGGUUGACGGUACCGGAGGAAUAAGCACCGGCUAACUUCGUGCCAGCAGCCGCGGUAAUACGAAGGGUGCAAGCGUUAUCCAGAUUCAUUGGGUUUAAAGGGUGCGUAGGCGGAGCGUUAAGUCAGUGGUGAAAUCCUGCAGCUUAACUGUAGACUUGCCAUUGAUACUGGCGCUCUUGAGUGCGCUUGAAGUGGGCGGAAUGUGCCGUGUAGCGGUGAAAUGCUUAGAUAUGGCACAGAACACCAAUUGCGAAGGCAGCUCACUAAGGCGAUACUGACGCUGAGGCACGAAAGCGUGGGGAUCGAACAGGAUUAGAAACCCUAGUAGUCC
rnacentral:rRNA from 1 species